CGGAAUCCGCCAGUUCCGGGUCCCUCAGUGUCUCUGUCAUCUUAAGAAAUGCUCAACCGAUCUUUUACGUCGCCGAUUGAAAUUUUUCUUUUAAUUCCUGACGUUCUCUGAUAUCCUGCAGGAUGCCUCUCAGCCAGCAAGUAGUCGCAGUUCCGAAAGAUUUAUCUCGAAAUAGUCAAAGUCACUGAGUAAUUAUCGCCAUCGUCGAACGGAAGUGCCUUCAAGAACCGGACGCCAGGAAGCGAUCUUUCUCGCAAAGAGAAAAUCUCCGGAAACCGUUUAGUCGAUCCAGUGUCAAAUUGUGCUCGAAAUAUGUAGGAAGAUAGGGCUGACAAGUCCAGAUGUAAAAUGGAAAAAUGGAUGAUGAAUCGGAGGAAAAAACGUGCGAGCUGUCGUGCAGCCCGCGAGGAACUGAGAUCGGCACUCUGGGACAUCCCAUCCUGGACCUUCUGAUGAUCUGUAUAGAG